rnacentral:rRNA from 1 species
AUGUAUAUCGACUAUGUCGGAUAAAAUUCUAGAUAGAAGAAUGAUUAUGACAAUUUUCUAUCUAUAAGUCUUGACCAAAUCUCGUGCCAGCAGUCGCGGCAAUACGAGGAAGACAAGUGUUAUUCAUCUUUAUUAGGUUUAAAGGGUACCUAGACGGUUUAUCUAGCCCCAAAAGGGUACGGAUUUUACUAGAGUUUUAUGUGAGAGGUAUAUAUUAGUACUAUUGGUGUAGAGAUGAAAUCCUUUGAUACUAUUAGGAACUGGUAGAGGCGAAAGCAACCCUCUAUGUAUAAACUGACGUUGAGGGACGAAGGCUUGGGUAGCGAAUAGGAUUAGAUACCCUAGUAGUCCAGGCAGAAAAUUAUGAAUGUCAUAGACUAGUAUUUUGAUACAGUACUUUGAUACUAUUCUUUCCAUAGAAAAUACACCCCCUAAUAAUAAAUCCUUUUAUUAGGAUUUGUUAAUGAUGUAUUAAGUAUUAUCAUUAGUCUAUAAAUGAAAGUGUAAGCAUUCCACCUCAAGAGUAAUGUGGCAACGCAGGAACUGAAAUCAUUAGACCGUUUCUGAAACCAGUAGUGAAGUAUGUUAUUUAAUUCGAUAACCCUCGAAAAACCUUACCACAAUUUGAAUAUUAAUUUUUAUUAAUACAAGCGUUGCACGGCUGUCUUCAGUUAAUGUCGUGAGAUUUUGGUUAGAUCCAUUAAAUUAACGUAAACCCUUUCUUUAUUUAUAUUAAAUAAAGUAGUUCACCGCUAUAUUGGAUUUGAUAAAAGGACUAAGACAAGUCAUCA